UCGGGAAUCUUGCGCAAUGGGGGAAACCCUGACGCAGCAAUACCGCGUGCGGGAUGAAGGCCUUCGGGUCGUAAACCGCUUUUCUCGGGGACGAUAAUGACGGUACCCGUGGAAUAAGCCACGGCUAACUACGUGCCAGCAGCCGCGGUAAUACGUAGGUGGCAAGCGUUGUCCGGAUUUACUGGGCGUAAAGCGCGCGCAGGCGGUGAACGAAGUCGAGAGUGAAAGCCCUGGGCUCAACUCAGGAACAGCUCUCGAAACCAGUUCACUUGAAGGCGGAAGGGGGAAGUGGAAUUCCGAGUGUAGUGGUGGAAUGCGUAGAUAUUCGGAAGAACACCAGAGGCGAAGGCGACUUCCUGGUCCGAUCUUGACGCUGAGGCGCGAAAGCUAGGGGAGCAAACGGG
rnacentral:rRNA from 1 species